AUUGAACGCUGGCGGCAGGCCUAACACAUGCAAGUCGAGCGGAUGAAGGGAGCUUGCUCCUGGAUUCAGCGGCGGACGGGUGAGUAAUGCCUAGGAAUCUGCCUGGUAGUGGGGGAUAACGUCCGGAAACGGGCGCUAAUACCGCAUACGUCCUGAGGGAGAAAGUGGGGGAUCUUCGGACCUCACGCUAUCAGAUGAGCCUAGGUCGGAUUAGCUAGCUGGUGGGGUAAAGGCCUACCAAGGCGACGAUCCGUAACUGGUCUGAGAGGAUGAUCAGUCACACUGGAACUGAGACACGGUCCAGACUCCUACGGGAGGCAGCAGUGGGGAAUAUUGGACAAUGGGCGAAAGCCUGAUCCAGCCAUGCCGCGUGUGUGAAGAAGGUCUUCGGAUUGUAAAGCACUUUAAGUUGGGAGGAAGGGCAGUAAGUUAAUACCUUGAUGUUUUGACGUUACCAACAGAAUAAGCACCGGCUAACUUCGUG
rnacentral:rRNA from 1 species